CAGGCCACAGAGUGGUGAUGUGCGAGUGACUGCGUGUGUGUGUAUGGCCUGCAAGGGCUGAUGUUUUUUGAAUUCUGUCUCUCUUACUGAGGACCGAUGUGCAUGUCUCAGUGUUCUCUAUAAAACAAGUGGUGGCAGGGUGUGGAUCUCUUUGCUCAAUUGUGUCAAACCUCUUACAGGUUUACUUUGGAAGUGGGGAGUGGCUUCUGUUCCUCACUGUGUCUGGGCAGCACUUUCAAGGACUGUCAAACCUGAGAAUGCUGAAGUUUUGGGUCAAUCUCAGGUUCGUCAGCCCAUGAAAGGCUGUCUCCAUCCAAUCCUAGAAUGGGCAGUAAACGUUUAAGUUUUUGUCAUGUGUCAUUUUAAGAAAUGUGGUCAUUUUUAGUGACCUGAUUACUGAUUUCAGAAGGGUUCCAUUGUUUUAUAGUCUGUACAUAUGAAACAGAGAAUCUAUCUAUCUAUCUAUCUAUCUAUCUAUCUAUCUAUCUAUCUAUCUAUCUAUCUAUCUAUCUAUCUGGCUAGCUAGCUAGCUACCUACCUAUCUGUUACCUACCUAUUUAAAAUUGUAAAUAUACAUUGCGAUUUGCUUGAUAAUAUUGAUUUCAUACAACUAAACCUACUCUUCAUUUGUGUAUAAAUUUGUUCCUGUUGACCCUGCUUUUUUAUGAUUAAUGUGCAUGGUGUUAUGUUCUGACAUUUAUCAUGAUCACUUUGUAAAUUCACUGCAAAUGAAAAAUCUGGCUAACAAAGCCAUUUCUGUUAUGGCCAUGAUGAUAUAUGGAUGGAUAUUAAACUGCCCAAGUAAACGA